AACAUACUCCAUCAGUCCCGAAAUACUUGUCGGAGGAAUGGAUGUAUCUAGACGUAUUUUAAUUCUAAAUACAUCCAUUUUUAUGCAUUUCUGAGACAAGUAUUUCCGGACGGAGGGAGUAUAUA
rfam:Triticum aestivum genome assembly, contig: Triticum_aestivum_CS42_TGACv1_scaffold_640819_T_3B-0.154633_7BS-0.111343